rnacentral:rRNA from 1 species
GUACAUUCUUACAUCAUAGAUUUAAUGCAUUGAAUCCCAUUAGAACUCCGUAGUUAAGCACGCUCGGGCUAGAGUAGUAUUGGGAUGGGUGACAUGCUCGGGCUAGAGUAGUAAUGGGAU